GCCCUGAUAGUAUAAACAUUACUCUGGUUUUGUAAACCAGAAAUGAGGAAGUAUCCUCUCAAGGCAA
rnacentral:tRNA from 1 species